AUCUCAUUUGACAAAACUUGUAUCGAAUUUCCAUGAAAGUAAAAGAUCACUCCAAACAGGAGAUCACGUGACUAAAGCUUUUGAGAAUGGCGAACGGGCAUUUCUUUCUUUUUCCUUGUAAGCCUUCUUUGGACUUCAAUUUGCAUUUGUAUUGCUUCGCUUAUUGGUAUGUUGCUGGACAAAAAGAAAUUUAUGGUCGCGAUAGUGUAAGCUUGCAGGAACAGAUGCCUUUCGGGGAAAGACAUUCUUGUCGAAGGGUGCAUAUUGGCAGCUUGGUGGUGAUGGUACAUCUUCUGGCCUUGAAUAUGAAUAUAUGAUGAUCAGCAAAUAAGUCUUACGGUAGGAUUUAUAGGAAUGAUGGGCGACAAAGUAUUUGUCACGUACGUGGAAGGAAUCUGAUGUCGCUUCAGGUUCAGUGACUCCAGUCUUUUCUUACCUUUUUAAUAGCAAGUAAUGAUUCUUUACUAUUCCUCACAGUAUAUAACAUUGUUUUACAUUUGGUUAAACAAAGGUGUCAGCUACAACUCUAUAUAUAUCUCAUUGUUUUCUUUGACCAAAUCCACAAAAAAGAUAUAAGGCAAGAUUCUAUGGAUUUAACUGAACCAAUUGUUUUCUGCUCGAACCAGGUAUAUAUACGAAGAAAAAAACAUUUAAAAUGUAUAUAUAUAAUAAGAUUACACUCAUUGUAAACUCAAUGAUUCUAGAUCCUGAAUUUGCCUCCGACUCUCAACCAAUCUAAUUUUCAUAGCAGCUAAAGAUAAAGGUGUUGGUUUUACACAUUUAUGGGUCCAGAAUGCAAGUUCGCUUUCUAAUCUACGGGAAAGGCACCAUGCAUUAUAUUCCUCUGCACUAUAAGUUCCUGAAACACUUACACACCUUACAAUAGGUACAAGAAUUGAUCCAGCAAAGACUUUUUUCUAUGCAAACAUAUUCUUUAUCUGGCAAAGUUUGGGAACCAUAUUCCGAGAAGUAAUAGUGGAAUAUUUUUUUUUCCUGAUGGAGACGGGAGGAAUCCACUAUCUAUGAUGUCUUGAAAACUACAACACCAUCUACGCUUUCGAAUGGAAGAUUCUAUUGACUGCAGCAUCUAGUACUGGGAAUUAGAUACAUGGAAGAAAAAAAGGCAAAAAGGGGCGGAGGCAGGAUCGAGGACCAGUGGAUUCAAAAAAAUGCUAAAAUGACACAUCUGGAAGUUUUCCUUGUUUUAAUAAGAUUCAACAUUCAAUAUAUAUACGUAAGAAAAGAUUUCACCUAUGCAUAGGGUAACUUUCAACAAAAGGAAUUCAAUUGAGCGCCAUCGGGCCAAUGUGACUCCGCCACUGCUUUGAAGGACCCAAGCUCUUUUCUAAUAAGCAUGUCACAAGAAAGUACUUAAUUUAUCCUUGGUGUUGCCAAAAAGCCAUGACUGUUGUUUCUCGCUUUUUUCAUACAGUUUAGAAUAGAACCCCAUUUGCUC